UAAUGGCGCACCAGUCAUUAGGCGACGUCAGGCGUCCCGUAUUUAAGGAGGCGGCCGUGUUUGGCUCGCACGCCUUCCGUUUCCGCUCCUCUCCGGUGGGUCGUGGAUAGCGCGGAAGAGCUACCUCUGUAGUCGCGGCGUGGUUGUGCAACAGCCAGCGCCUCCUCUAAUUUUCCCCCCUCGUACGCAGCGUGACUGACUGCUGGCGGGGGAUCGCUCCGCCGGGGGACCUUCGGGGUGCAGUUGCGGGUCUGCUUUCUGGACUCAUCUACGGCUGGGGGAGACUCCCACCCUCCGGGUUGCUGUGAUGGUGCCUUGGCUUGCAGGGUGAGGCCCUGCUCCUUCGUCGGCCGUCAUUGGCCACCACGUCUCAGACGGACCUGCUGUUUUGGCUUUACCGGAAAUUGCACUAUCCUAACUCACACUUUUAAUGAACUGUGGCAGCUGAUAAGAGCACGGCUCCACAGUUGGAGACUGCCCGGGCUCAGGACCAAUUCUGUGUGUUCUUGGAGUAUUGUCUCGUGCACUGUGGCUCUCCACGCUACACCUUCACGGCGCGUGGAGUGAUCACCACAAAGGGACGCCUAGUUUUUUAGCAACCUUUUUAAAUACUGUUUAUAUUGGUUGGUAUUUCGUUGUUUUGUUUUGUUGUUUCUACGCGGACAUGUUUUAAUUAUUCUUUUAUUGUUGGUCAGGUGCU